UACGUAGGGGGCAAGCGUUGUCCGGAAUUAUUGGGCGUAAAGAGCGUGUAGGCGGUCCGGUAAGUCAGCUGUGAAAGUCAAGGGCUCAACCCUUGAAAGCCGGUUGAUACUGUCGGGCUAGAGUCCGGAAGAGGCGAGUGGAAUUCCCGGUGUAGCGGUGAAAUGCGCAGAUAUCGGGAGGAACACCAAUGGCGAAGGCAGCUCGCUGGGACGGUACUGACGCUGAGGCACGAAAGCGUGGGGAGCAAACAGG
rnacentral:rRNA from 1 species